GGCAGACUAUCUCGCUACCCUACAAAGGCAAAUAACAUCUAUUGCCCAAGUUUCAUUAUAGAACCAUGGAGCCCUAGAUCUCCUGAUGGCAGACAAAGGAGGAACCUGUCUAUUCCUGAAAGAAGAAUGCUGCUACUAUAUCAAUGAAACUGGAUUGGUCGAAAAGAAUGUCAACACCCCUGUCGUUUGGGUGAAAGGCUUAAACAGCAACAAUCAAAGGAUCCUUGGCCAGGCUGGCUAAACUCAACCCUCAUUAUGUGGCUGACUCCCAUUCUCACUCCUAUAUUAGUCAUAGGGCUUCUAUUAAUGAUUGCUCCCUGCCUCCUCGGGUUC
rnacentral:lncRNA from 1 species